GAUGAACGCUGGCGGCGUGCUUAACACAUGCAAGUCGAACGAAGCACUUUAUUUGAUUUCCUUCGGGACUGAUUAUUUUGUGACUGAGUGGCGGACGGGUGAGUAACGCGUGGGUAACCUGCCUUGUCCAGGGGGAUAACAGUUGGAAACGGCUGCUAAUACCGCAUAAGCGCACGGCAUCGCAUGAUGCAGUGUGAAAAACUCCGGCGGUAUAAGAUGGACCCGCGUUGGAUUAGCUAGUUGGUGAGGUAACGGCCCACCAAGGCGACGAUCCAUAGCCGAGCUGAGAGGGUGACCGGCCACAUUGAGACUGAGACACGGCCGAAAAUCCUACGGGAGGCAGCAGUGGGGAAUAUUGCAAAAUGGGCGAAAGGAUGAUGCAGCGACGCCGGGUGAGCGAAGAAGUAUUGCGGGAAGUAAAGCUCUAUCAGCAGGGAAGAUAAUGACGGUACCUGAAGAAGAAGCACCGGCUAAAUACGUG
rnacentral:rRNA from 1 species